rnacentral:rRNA from 1 species
UGGCGGACGGGUGAGUAACGCGUGGGUAACCUGCCUUACACAGGGGGAUAACACCUGGAGACAGGUGCUAAUACCGCAUAAGCGCACAGGGCCGCAUGGCCCGGUGUGAAAAACUCCGGUGGUGUAAGAUGGACCCGCGUCUGAUUAGCUUGUUGGCGGGGUAGGGGCCCACCAAGGCGACGAUCAGUAGCCGGCCUGAGAGGGUGGACGGCCACAUUGGGACUGAGACACGGCCCAAACUCCUACGGGAGGCAGCAG